ensembl:antisense Gm2415 predicted gene 2415
AAGCUCGGCGAUCGAGGUGUGGGCCGCGCGGCGCGGAAUGGAAGCGCGGGGAGUGCUCGGCGGAAGCCCGGGGUGCAGUGGGAUCGCCGGCUGAGGCCCGGGGAGGUUUAUUCACCCCGAGUCCAGGCCCUCUCAGCAGGAAGGAGCUGAAGACAGUGAGAGUUAAGAGUUUAUCUGGCCAUGUAGGGUAACCAGAUGGCAAACUGGAAGAUUCAAAAAAGAGGAAAUAUCUGCGGCUGGCAAAUAGACAGGAAAAUUCACACUUUGCUAAACCUGCUGUGACUUGGGGUGGCAUUUCAGGAGGGCAGCUUACAGUGUGAACUACAUGCUCCUCAUGACUCCGUUUCUAGGGUUUCGCUCUAAGGACACGGUGGAGGAUUUGUUCAAUCACACUGGCAUUG